rnacentral:tRNA from 1 species
GGGCGGGUAGAUCAGCUUGGAAUGAUCGCAGCGUUGGCAUCGCUGAGGCCGCGGGUUCAAAUCCCGCCCCGUCCA